UAAAAAUUGGUAACAAACAUGUGAUAUCAUGUUGUUGUAUUGAUUACUUUAUAGGAGCAUCCCAAAGAAAAACUCGUGGGAAAACUUUAUGCAAAAAGAUUCAUGCAAGAACUUUGGAAGAGCGAGCAAAAGUGACUUUAAUGAGGAUGGUCAUCCAAUUGGUCCUAGUGAUAAAGUAGUAUCUGACUUGAGCCUCUUCUUGGAAACAUUGGCUAGGAACUCAACAUUUUGUCCUCUGCGUUACAUCAAUUGGUCAGGAAUUCCAAACGAUAAUAAAAACCGUUUAUGGAGAUAUACUAAUCAGAAGUUUAUCUUGCCGGUUGAAGCACGAGAUUGGGUUAAGACCACAGUUAGAGAUGCAUGGAGAAGAUAUAAGCACACUAUUAAGAAGAAUCAUUUUUUAGAAGUAUUCCAACAUGACUAAGAGACUCAAAAAUCGUCCAGCAAAGGUUCCCAUAGCUCAAUUUAAGAGUCUUUGUGAUUAUUAGAGUAAGGAAGCUAUACAAACAAUAAGUGACAAUAACACUAGAAAUAGAGCUCAACUAAAGUGGAUGCAUAGAAUGGGUCCCAAAAACUUUGCUUUGAGUCGUGGAAAAGUGCGUGAAAAGGAAAAAAGAGAGCCCACUCAAUCAGAAAUGUUUGUUGAAACUCGAAAAGGAAAUAAAGGAAAGGAACUGGAUGUAGAAACUAGAAAAGUAAUUUCCCAACUUCAAGAAAUGGUUGAAAAGGAGGAAAGUGACACAGAAGCUUUUAAAGUUGUUUUUGGAAAGAAGUGUCUUGGCAAGGUACGCUGUUAUGGGAGAAACGUAACUAAAACUUCCUUAAAGCGAAAGGUGGAGAUUAAUGCUUUGAAACAAGCACAUAGUGAAGAGGUCUUUAUAUUAAGGCACGAGUUUCAAGAUCAUAUUGAUAGAUUGCAAAAUGCUUUUAAGACCUUAAUACAACAAUGAAAUCCUCAAAUUAAUAUGGAGUCAAUCGAAGAUUUGUUAGGAUUAUCUCAUGGAGAUGCUAAUAGUUCCCCAAAGGAUAUGACACAACAAUUGCAUUCCUCUACAUCAACUCAUGCUCCAUGUCAUGGAAAGGUAAUCGCCUUAAAGGCCACUAAUAAUCGUCCCCUAUUCCUUUGGUUUAGGCGACGUUUUUAAAUAGCGUGCCUAAAGAAUGAGAAAAAAACGUCGCCUUUGAGAAUAGGAAAUGCUCGCACAAGAGACGCCUAGAAAACGUCCCCUAUUCCUUUAGGCAACACUUUCCAAAGUUCUGGCAACGUUUUCUAAUUGUUGCUGUAGAGCCUAAAUAUUGUAGUGACUGUCUUUCUUCAUUUACUUUAUCCUUUCAAGCAAUUAUGCAUUUUACUUCUUUGAAUUUUCAUUCAGUUGCUCUAAAUUCAAACACUAAAUCUUUAAGCACUAACACACAUUCUCAAGCAUUUCACACAAAAAUGUCCUUUAGGAUUUUUCGAGUUUGAUCCUGCAAGUGAAUUGAAUCUCGUGACUUGUUUACUAAAAACAAUACUAAACAGGGGGUAAACCGUGCUUUUUGAAGCACACUUCUAUCGUGUGACAAGGUUUAUGACACUAUGUGUAUCUUGAUACCUCAUCCACGAAUAGUUGAAGUUGAUUUGUUGUUGGAGUCCCAAGGUUUUAGCUUUGUUGAAGGGCUUGGAAACUUGAGCUAUUAACUUGUAUUCUUCAAUGGGAGCUGUGAAUUGGCACUCUUGUUGAAUAAGGAGAGAGAAUACUUUGUUUAUGGGGGAAUGGGCUGAAUAAGCAUAAUGUUGAAUUGAAUUGUGGAGUAUUGUCCAUUCAGACCUUUAAAGAGGCGAAUGACAUAGUCAUUCUCACGAUACUGUUUGAUAAAUUGAAGGAGGUUACAAGAGCACUUAAUAGUGCACACACAAUUUGGGAUAGAGAGAAAGUUUUCUAGCUUCUGCCAUAAUUUUUCCAGAGAUGUAAAUUAUUGAGUUUUUAUUGAAUCACUUUGUUUGAGAGUGAAUAUUUCUUCUUGAAGGUAAAAUAUCCUAAAACCAUUGACUUAUUAAUAUGGAUCAUGUAAGUCUUUCCAGAUUUCAUGAGCGAUAUUCAUCCACAAAAUGUUUUCAGCGAUCUCAAGUUCAAUAGAAUUUAUGAGUCAUGCCAUAACCAUUGUGUUAUAGCGGUGCAAUCCACUGAGUUAUAUUAAAUUAGGGUUCCAUCAAGAAACCCCAAUUUGUUCUUGGAGCGAAUCACAAGUUUAAUUGAACGAGACCAGAAAUGAAAGAUUUUGUUGUUCAUGGAUGGGGUGGCAAUGGUGAUACCAGGAUCGUCGCUAGGGUGCAUGUAGAACGGAUCUAGCAUGUUUGUUUGGUAGGAAUGAUUAGCAUUAUUGGUGUUGUAUUUUAAGGUCGUAUACAUGGAAGUUUCAGG